rnacentral:rRNA from 1 species
UACAGAGGUCCCAAGCGUUGUUCGGAUUCAUUGGGCGUAAAGGGUGCGUAGGCGGCAAUUCAAGUCAGCUGUGAAAUCUCCGAGCUUAACUCGGAACGGUCAGCUGAUACUGUUUUGCUAGAGUACAGAAGGGGCAAUCGGAAUUCUUGGUGUAGCGGUGAAAUGCGUAGAUAUCAAGAGGAACACCUGAGGUGAAGACGGGUUGCUGGGCUGAUACUGACGCUGAGGCGCGAAAGCUAGGGGUAGCAAACGGG